AACGAACGCUGGCGGCGCGCCUAAUACAUGCAAGUCGAGCGAGAAGACGUAGCAAUACGUUUGUAAAGCGGCGAACGGGUGAGGAAUACAUGGGUAACCUACCCUCGAGUGGGGAAUAACUAGCCGAAAGGUUAGCUAAUACCGCGUACGCUCCUUGGACUUCGGUUCAGGGAGGAAAGCGAUACCGUGGGUAUCGCGCUCUUGGAUGGGCUCAUGUCCUAUCAGCUUGUUGGGAGGUAACGGCUCACCAAGGCUUCGACGGGUAGCUGGUCUGAGAGGACGAUCAGCCACACUGGCACUGCGACACGGGCCAGACUCCUACGGGAGGCAGCAGUAAGGAAUAGUGCGCAAUGGGCGAAAGCCUGACGCAGCGACGCCGCGUGGGGGA
rnacentral:rRNA from 1 species